CUUUGCAGACCUCUCAAACCAAGGGCAGCAGGAAAAAAAUUGUAAUCCGUUUGCUUUGCCUAUAAAACAUUUUGAAGGGCCAGCCCUCUCCUCUACUGCAGAAAGAAGUACAGUACUGGGGAAAGAUCCAUUUAGCACUAGCAGGUGCAGCCAAAUGAGCCACAGCUGCAUAGGUGAUCACCAGGGAAUUGCUGUGCCUCAUUUGCCUAAAUGAUUCACUCUCAGACCCAUGAGACUUUCCCUUCCCCCAAAAGAAUGUUUCUCUGCAGAGAGGUCGAUGAAAUUUACUGACUGAGGGUAAAUGCUCCAUCUGUGGGGGGAGCGCCGGGCAGAAGGACAUGGAUCUUCCAGCUAGUUCUCCAAAAGAAAAGACUCCAGCUUAUGAAAAUGUGGGCUGAUGUCGCCUGCAAGCAGAGGCUUAAAAUAAUGGUGUCAAAAAGAAUCAGAGAGUCUCAUUUUCACACCACAGAACCAGCACUCCAGUCCCUUUAGGUCCAUGGCUCACCUGAAUGCUUCUGCAGAAAAGAGGAAAAGACUGACUGGCUGGAUAUGUACAGUACAAAAAAUCGAGGGUGGGGAGCUUUGUCCCAAAGGCAGGCAGAGGAAGAAGUCUUCUGUGCCUCACUAAAGACGACUCAAUCAAAAGCUUCAAGAGGUCAAACUACACUGAAGCCCAGUAAAGAUUCUGUGGCUGAAUUUUUUUCAAGCUACUUCCACUGCAGAAUAGAAACAGGAUAUUUAACAGCUCCGGGCAUUUUUGAGCCAAGGUCUUAUUGCUGCAUAUAUAGGAUUCUGCUGCCGGCAUCAGUGACUGAGCAGCUGCAGGGAUGUUCUUUUCCUCCGUGUGACAUUGAUAAAUGACCUGCAGGAAUGCUUAACAAGGUUUGGAAUAUUGUCUUACUCCCAUGGACAACAAUUCUGCAUGUAUUCUAGCAAGAGUCUUUUUUAAAAAGUCAGGGGAUUUAAGCUGUUAUAUCUCACCUCGUUUUCUGUGAUACUGGAGCAGAAAUCAGACCAGCCCCCAAUUAAAAUCUAUAGCACAGCAAUUGUAAACUCACACAAUUUGCUUUGUGAAUUCAAUAAAAGGUAUUUUAAUUUUAUUAUUAUUAUUUGC
rnacentral:lncRNA from 1 species